rnacentral:rRNA from 1 species
UGAAAAAAAAAAAUUUAAAAAAUUAAAAUUUUUAAUAGAUUUUUAAUUUAUAAAAUAAAUUAGUAAAAUAUUAUUUAAUUUAAUUUAUAAUUUUAGUAUUUAAUAAGAAAAAAAAAAUUAUUUAUAGGGAAUUAGUAAAGUAAUUGAAAUUUGAAAAAAUUUUUAAAAAUUAAAAUUUAAAAAAGUCAAAUUAAUUUUUUGUAUCUUGUGUAUCAGAGUUUAAAAAUUAAUUUAUAUUAUAAAUAUCUUUUUCGAAAAAAAUUAAGAGAUAAAAUUUUUUAAUUUUAAAUGUGAAAAAAUUUUUAAUAAAAAAAUUUUUGUAAUGAAAAGUUAUUCGUUUUUUUUUAUUUCUAAUUUUUAAAGAAAAAAAUUUAAUUUUUGAUUUAAUUUAUAAUAUUUAUAUUUUUAAAGAAUAUUUUUAUAUUUUAAAUUUUAAUUAAAUGAUUAUAUUUAUAGGGAUGAGCUUAUAAGUAAAGAUUUAUAUAAAUAUUUUUAAAAAGGUAAUAGAUUUUUGGAAUUAUAAUAAAAUUGUAAAAUUAAAAUUUUUAAUUUAAUUUGAAAUUUUUAAUAAAUUAUUUAUUUAAAAUUAAUUUAUUUAAUAAUAAUUAUUAAUUAUUUAUUUAAAAUUAUUUAUGUAUUAAUAAUAAUUAGAUUUAAUGUUAAAAUUAGUAUAAAAUUAAUAUUUUAAAUGAAAAAAAAAUUUAAUUUAAAGAAUUAGGCAAAUAUUUAAAUUAGAUUUAAUGUUUAAUUCACCUGUUUAACAAAAACAUGUCUUUUUGUUAUAAAUAAUAAGUCAAAUCUGCCCACUGAUUUUAAAAUUAAAGGGCUGCAGGAAUUUAACUGUACAAAGGUAGCAUAAUAAAUUGUUUUUUAAUUAAAAACUAGAAUGAAUGAUUUGAUGAAAUUAAAGCUUUUUAAAAUUAAUUUAUUAAAAUUUAUUUUUUUUGUUAAAAAACAAAAAUUUUAAUUUUAGACGAGAAGACCCUUUAGAUUUUAAUUAAAAAUUUUAAAAUGAAUAAAUUUAAAUUAUAUUUUAGAAUUUUUAAUUUGAUUGGGGUGAUUGUUAAAUUUAAUUAACUUUAAUUUAAUUAUAAAUUUUGAUUAGAGAAAUAAAAGUUUUAUGAAAAAAAAAAGAUUUAAUUAUUUGGAUUAAAAGAAUAAAUUACCUAAGGGAUAACAGCGUAAUUCUAAUUUUUAGAUCUUAUAGAAAUUAAAGAUUGCGACCUCGAUGUUGGAUUAAGAUAAAUUAAAAAUGCAGAUGUUUUUAUUUUUAGUCUGUUCGACUAUUAAAAUCUUACAUGAUCUGAGUUCAAACCGGUGUGAGCCAGGUUGGUUUCUAUCUAAAUUUAUGUAAUAAAAAUUUAGUACGAAAGGAUUAAUUUUUAGAAAUAAAAAAUUUUUUUAUUUAUGAAUUAAAAUAAUUGAAUUGUUUGAUGAA